rnacentral:rRNA from 1 species
UACGGAGGGUGCAAGCGUUGUUCGGAAUUAUUGGGCGUAAAGAGCACGCAGGCGGUUUGGCAAGUCGGACGUGAAAAUCCGGGGCUCAACCCCGGACCUGCAUCCGAAACUGCCCGUCUAGAGGUAGGUAGGGGAGAUCGGAAUUCCUGGUGUAGCGGUGAAAUGCGCAGAUAUCAGGAGGAACACCGGUGGCGAAGGCGGAUCUCUGGGCCUUACCUGACGCUCAGGUGCGAAAGCUAGGGGAGCGAACAGG